rnacentral:rRNA from 1 species
GAUGAACGCUGGCGGCGUGCCUAAUACAUGCAAGUCGAGCGAACGGACGAGAAGCUUGCUUUUCUGAUGUUAGCGGCGGACGGGUGAGUAACACGUGGAUAACCUACCUAUAAGACUGGGAUAACUUCGGGAAACCGGAGCUAAUACCGGAUAAUAUUUUGAACCGCAUGGUUCAAAAGUGAAAGACGGUCUUGCUGUCACUUAUAGAUGGAUCCGCGCUGCAUUAGCUAGUUGGUAAGGUAACGGCUUACCAAGGCAACGAUGCAUAGCCGACCUGAGAGGGAGAUCGGCCACACUGGAACUGAGACGCGGUCCAGACUCCUACGGGAGGCAGAAGUAGGGAAUCUUCCGAAAUGGGCAAAAGCCUGACGGAGCAACGCCGCGUGAGGGAUGAAGGUCUUCGUAUCGAAAAACUGUUUUAUUAGGAAAAAAAAUAUGUGUAAGUAUCUGUGCACAUCUUGGCGUUACCUAAUAAGAAAGCCACGGCUAACUACGUG